UACAGAGGUCCCAAGCGUUGUUCGGAUUCACUGGCGUAAAGGGUGCGUAGGUGGCCAGGUAAGUUUGGUGUGAAAGCUCGGAGCUUAACUCCGAAAUGUCAUUGAAUACUAUCUGGCUGGAGGGUCGGAGGGGAGACUGGAAUUCUCGGUGUAGCAGUGAAAUGCGUAGAUAUCGAGAGGAACACCAGUGGCGAAGGCGAGUCUCUGGACGACUCCUGACACUGAGGCACGAAAGCCGGGGGAGCAAACAGG
rnacentral:rRNA from 1 species